UGGGGAAUAUUGCACAAUGGGGGAAACCCUGAUGCAGCGACGCCGCGUGAACGAAGAAGGUAUUCGUAUCGUAAAGUUCUGUCCUAUGGGAAGAUAAUGACAGUACCAUAGAAGAAAGCUCCGGCUAAAUACGUGCCAGCAGCCGCGGUAAUACGUAUGGAGCGAGCGUUGUCCGGAAUUAUUGGGCGUAAAGGGUACGCAGGCGGUUUAAUAAGUCGAAUGUUAAAGAUCGGGGCUCAACCCCGUAAAGCAUUGGAAACUGAUAAACUUGAGUAGUGGAGAGGAAAGUGGAAUUCCUAGUGUAGUGGUGAAAUACGUAGAUAUUAGGAGGAAUACCAGUAGCGAAGGCGACUUUCUGGACACAAACUGACGCUGAGGUACGAAAGCGUGGGGAGCAAACAAG
rnacentral:rRNA from 1 species